GAUGAACGCUGGCGGCGUGCCUAAUACAUGCAAGUCGAGCGAACAGACGAGGAGCUUGCUCCUCUGACGUUAGCGGCGGACGGGUGAGUAACACGUGGAUAACCUACCUAUAAGACUGGGAUAACUUCGGGAAACCGGAGCUAAUACCGGAUAAUAUAUUGAACCGCAUGGUUCAAUAGUGAAAGACGGUUUUGCUGUCACUUAUAGAUGGAUCCGCGCCGCAUUAGCUAGUUGGUAAGGUAACGGCUUACCAAGGCAACGAUGCGUAGCCGACCUGAGAGUGUGACGGGCCACUGGGGAACUGAGACAGGCUCGAGCACCCACGGGGGGGAGCAAGGAGGAAUUCUCCCGAAAGGGGCAAAGUCUGGACGGAGCAGCGCGGGGGGGGGAAUGAGGGUCUUCGGAUCUAAAACCUUUUUUAUGGGGAAAAAAAAAAGGUGAAAGAAAGAAGGCGCUUCUGAAGGAUACCUAAUCAAAAGGCCCCGACAAGCUACGGC
rnacentral:rRNA from 1 species